rnacentral:rRNA from 1 species
GACGAACGCUGGCGGCAUGCCUAAUACAUGCAAGUCGGGCGAACAGAUGAAGUGCUUGCACUUCUGACGUUAGCGGCGAACGAGUGAGUAACACGUAAGGAAUCUACCUAUAAGCGGGGGAUAACAUUCGGAAACGGGUGCUAAUACCGCAUAAUAUCUUCUUCCGCAUGGAAGAAGAUUGAAAGACGGCUCUGCUGUCACUUAUAGAUGACCUUGCGGCGCAUUAGUUAGUUGGUGGGGUAAUGGCCUACCAAGACGAUGAUGCAUAGCCGACCUGAGAGGGUGAUCGGCCACAUUGGGACUGAGACACGGCCCAAACUCCUACGGGAGGCAGCAGUAGGGAAUCUUCCGCAAUGGGCGAAAGCCUGACGGAGCAAUGCCGCGUGAGUGAAGAAGGCCUUCGGGUCGUAAAACUCUGUUAUAAGAGAAGAACAAAUUGUAGAGUAACUGCUACAGUCUUGACGGUAUCUUAUCAGAAAGCCACGGCUAACUACGUGCCAGCCGCCGCAGUAA